UACAGAGGUGUCAAACGUUGUCCGGAAUUACUGGGCGUAAAGGGCGCGUAGGCGGCCUUAUAAGUCAUAUGUGAAAGCUCUGGGCUCAACCCAGGAAUUGCAUGUGAUACUGUAAGGCUUGAGUUCGGUAGAGGAGGGCGGAAUUCCAGGUGUAGCGGUGAAAUGCGUAGAUAUCUGCAGGAACACCCGUGGCGAAAGCGGCGAGCUGGAUCACUACUGACGCUGAGGAACGAAAGCUAGGGGAGCAAACAGG
rnacentral:rRNA from 1 species